CCCUUAGAUGUUCUGGGCCGCACGCGCGCUACACUGAUGCAUUCAACGAGUUCCUACCUUGGCCGAGAGGCCUGGGCAAUCUUUUGAACUUGCAUCGUGAUAGGGAUAGAUUAUUGCAAUUAUUAAUCUUGAACGAGGAAUUCCUAGUAAACGCAGAUCAUCAAUCUGCAUUGAUUACGUCCCUGCCCUUUGUACACACCGCCCGUCGCUCCUACCGAUUGAGCGAUCCGGUGAAUGUUUUGGACUGGCGUCAGAAGCGGUUCGCUCCUGACACUACGAAAUUUUGUAAACCUUAUCGCUUAGAGGAAGGAAAAGUCGUAACA
rnacentral:rRNA from 1 species